rnacentral:rRNA from 1 species
GACGAACGCUGGCGGCGUGCUUAACACAUGCAAGUCGAACGGUAAGGCCCUUCGGGGUACGCGAGUGGCAAACGGGUGAGUAACACGUGGGUGAUCUGCCCUGCACUUCGGGAUAAGCCUGGGAAACUGGGUCUAAUACCGGAUAGGACCACUGCCUGCAUGGGUGGUGGUGGAAAGCUUCUGCGGUGUGGGAUGGGCCCGCGGCCUAUCAGCUUGUUGGUGGGGUGAUGGCCUACCAAGGCGACGACGGGUAGCCGGCCUGAGAGGGUGACCGGCCACACUGGGACUGAGAUACGGCCCAGACUCCUACGGGAGGCAGCAGUGGGGAAUAUUGCACAAUGGGCGCAAGCCUGAUGCAGCGACGCCGCGUGAGGGAUGACGGCCUUCGGGUUGUAAACCUCUUUCAGCACCGACGAAGCGCAAGUGACGGUAGGUGCAGAAGAAGGACCGGCCAACUACGUGCCAGCCGCCGCCGUAA